UGACGGGCCUGGGAUCAGCUGUGUCUGGCUGUUGCGACAAUUCUUCCCAGAUCAUUCCCACUAUAGUCAGCUGUUGCUCUGCCUGUUCAGGAGGACUUGCAAGAGACUAAGCUUGCUACUUCUGCCAUGGCAUAGGACAACCAGGAGAAGAAAAAACACUUGGUUAAUCCUGCUUGCUUCUGCUGCUGCCUAGCAUCCCUCCAGCUCUUUUCUCAGAAGCCAAACUGGAAUGCACGGUCUGCCUAGAAGAAAAAUGGCUUUUUUCUUACAUGAGAGAGGAGCUGAUGAAGCACAAGACAAGCUCAAUAAUUUGCAUUAACUACUUGAUGGGAAGAAGAGGGAUAUUUUGAA